rnacentral:rRNA from 1 species
UACGAGUGCCUCAAGCGUUAUCCGGAAUCAUUGGGCGUAAAGGAUGUGUAGGUGGUCUUGUUAGUCUCUCGUUAAAUUUUGCGGCUUAACCGUAAACAUGCGGGGGAAACGGCAGGACUUGAGGGUGCAAGAGGUCUCUGGAACUCUAGGUGUAGCGGUGAAAUGCGUUGAUAUCUAGGGGAACACCAGAAGCGAAGGCAAGAGACUGGGGCAUUCCUGACACUGAAACAUGAAAGCGUGGGUAGCGAAUGGG